GCCAUGACUCUGCCAUCUCUCCUGGAUCAUGACUCUGGUAACUUAAAGCAUGAAUGUCUCAAGUCACUUGCAAAGUAUAUGCUGAUGUGCCGUGAAUUCUCAUCUGAACAGGCAACGUUCACAAUGAGCCUCAGGUCCGUACCAUUAUCACAGCCUACCUCCAUGCAUCCAUGCCUCACGGUC